UAGGUCGGAGUCGGAGACCCCGCAGGAAUGGAUCUCCCCCACUUCAUGACUUCCGGAAUGGGAGGAAUCAGGUCUGCUGGUGACCUCGUCGCCAGGAUGC
rnacentral:ncRNA from 1 species